UACGAAGGGGGCUAGCGUUGCUCGGAAUCACUGGGCGUAAAGCGCACGUAGGCGGAUUGUUAAGUCAGGGGUGAAAUCCUGGAGCUCAACUCCAGAACUGCCUUUGAUACUGGCGAUCUCGAGUCCGGGAGAGGUGAGUGGAACUGCGAGUGUAGAGGUGAAAUUCGUAGAUAUUCGCAAGACACCAGUGGCGAAGGCGCUCACUGGCCCGGUACUGACGCUGAGGUGCGAAAGCGUGGGGAGCA
rnacentral:rRNA from 1 species